UCGAGGAUCUUCGGCAAUGGGCGCAAGCCUGACCGAGCGACGCCGCGUGUGCGAUGAAGGCCUUCGGGUUGUAAAGCACUGUCGAGGGGGAGGAAAGCCCGCAAGGGUCUGACCUAUCCCUGGAGGAAGCACGGGCUAAGUUCGUGCCAGCAGCCGCGGUAAGACGAACCGUGCGAACGUUGUUCGGAAUCACUGGGCUUAAAGGGCGCGUAGGCGGGCUAGCAAGUCCGGGGUGAAAUCUUUCGGCUCAACCGGAAAAGUGCCUCGGAUACUGCUGGUCUGGAGUGAGGUAGGGGCCGCGGGAACUUCCGGUGGAGCGGUGAAAUGCGUUGAUAUCGGAAGGAACGCCGGUGGCGAAAGCGCGCGGCUGGCCCUCAACUGACGCUGAGGCGCGAAAGCUAGGGGAGCAAACGG
rnacentral:rRNA from 1 species